AAGAAGAUGGGGAUAAAAGGAGGUGUAGCAGAUGAGACGGGAUUCUCGGUGAGGAAGCAAACAAGUGUCUGGUAUUUUGUGUGCUGAUGCAUUGUUCCAGCAGCAGGAGGACAUGGCCUUUCAUGGCCCGUGAUUGACAUGCAGCCCAAUUGUGGCUCAGCCUUCAGAUUGGAUGGAUGCCCUGCCCGCCUCUGCGAGCGAGCGAGCGAGCGAGCGUGUCCACGUGCGUACACGUGUGUGCACGAGCGCACAUGUAUGUCCCCUUACACAGAAGCUCUUCAUUCGUUGCUGAAUUUCAGAAAUGAAAUAAACAUGAAUACUAUAAGAAUAAUAAUUCACGUUCGUGUAUGUUUUUUUUGGACGUACGAGGUAGGCUGUAAACGAGCACAGGCUUCAGCGUAACGCUCGUGACUGUGUCCUCUACCGUGUUCGCAGGUAGUGCAAAAUACAAAAUACACGACAAUGAGAUUUGUUCAAGAGGCAUGAAGAAAGGGACGAAAGGCCAGAGCACUCAGGAGUCCUGCCACCCCAAGGUCAGCCCUCAUCCACCUGGAAGCUACAGCUGACGGUUGGCUCGUACCUUGUCUCUGCUGACAUUCCGGGAGGCGUGAGGCAGAGCCACACAGACGCCGUCUUCUCCUUUAUGGCACAAUGUGACCACGGCGGUAACGGGACAGGCCGGUUCCCACGAUAGCGUCU